AAGGCUUGACAUGGGGAAGACUGGACGAGAGAUCGUCCUUCUCUAGCAAUAGAGCUUCCCACACAGGUGCUGCAUGGCUGUCGUCAGCUCGUGUCGUGAGAUGUUGGGUUAAGUCCCGCAACGAGCGCAACCCCCGUUUCUAGUUGCCAUCAUUCAGUUGGGCCCUCUAGAGAGACUGCCGCGAAUAACGCGGAGGAAGGUGGGGACGACGUCAAGUCAUCAUCGG
rnacentral:rRNA from 1 species